rnacentral:rRNA from 1 species
AUUGAACGCUGGCGGCAGGCCUAACACAUGCAAGUCGAACGGUAACAGGAAGAAGCUUGCUUCUUUGCUGACGAGUGGCGGACGGGUGAGUAAUGUCUGGGAAACUGCCUGAUGGAGGGGGAUAACUACUGGAAACGGUAGCUAAUACCGCAUAACGUCGCAAGACCAAAAAGGGGGACCUUCGGGCCUCUUGCCAUCGGAUGUGCCCAGAUGGGAUUAGCUAGUAGGUGGGGUAACGGCUCACCUAGGCGACGAUCCCUAGCUGGUCUGAGAGGAUGACCAGCCACACUGGAACUGAGACACGGUCCAGACUCCUACGGGAGGCAGCAGUAGGGAAUAUUGCACAAUGGGCGCAAGCCUGAUGCAGCCAUGCCGCGUGUAUGAAGAAGGCCUUCGGGUUGUAAAGUACUUUCAGCGGGGAGGAAGGGAGUAAAGUUAAUAUCUUUGCUCAUUGACGUUACCCGCAGAAGAAGCACCGGCUAACUCCGUG